AUUGAACGCUGGCGGCAUGCCUUACACAUGCAAGUCGAACGGCAGCACGGGAGCAAUCCUGGUGGCGAGUGGCGAACGGGUGAGUAAUACAUCGGAACGUGCCCAGUAGUGGGGGAUAACCCGGCGAAAGCCGGACUAAUACCGCAUACGACCUACGGGUGAAAGCGGGGGAUCGCAAGACCUCGCGCUAUCGGAGCGGCCGAUGUCAGAUUAGCUAGUUGGUGGGGUAAAGGCCUACCAAGGCGACGAUCUGUAGCUGGUCUGAGAGGACGACCAGCCACACUGGGACUGAGACACGGCCCAGACUCCUACGGGAGGCAGCAGUGGGGAAUUUUGGACAAUGGGCGCAAGCCUGAUCCAGCCAUGCCGCGUGCGGGAAGAAGGCCUUCGGGUUGUAAACCGCUUUUGUCAGGGAAGAAACGCUCCGGGCUAAUACCACGGAGCAAUGACGGUACCUGAAGAAUAAGCACCGGCUAACUACGUG
rnacentral:rRNA from 1 species